ACCUACAUGGUGCAAAUGGUUAACACACUUGGUUGCUAACCAAAAGGUAGGAGGUUCCAGUCCACUCGUAGGAG
rnacentral:tRNA from 1 species